rnacentral:rRNA from 1 species
GACGAACGCUGGCGGCGUGCCUAACACAUGCAAGUCGAACGGAAAGGCCCUGCUUGCAGGCUACUCGAGUGGCGAACGGGUGAGUAACACGCGGGUGAUCUGCCUUGCACUUCGGGAUAAGUCCGGGAAACGGGGUCUAACUCCGGACAGGAGCCAUAUUGAGUGUGAUGGUUGGAAAGUUUUUUCGGUGUAGGAUGAGCUUGCGGCCUAUCAGCUUGUUGGAGGGGUAAUGGGCUACCAAGGCGGCUGCGGGUAGCCGGACUGGGGGGGUGGCCGGCCACAUUGGGACUGAGAGGGGGCCCAGGCACCGACGGGUGGGAGAGGGGGGGAAGAUUGCUCGAGGGGCGCAGGCCGAAUGCAGAGACGCCGCGGGGGGGAGGACGGCCUUCGGGUUGGAGACUCCUUGCGCUAGGAACGAGGCUUUUUGUGACGGUACCUAGAGAAGAAGCACCGGCUAACUACGUG